rnacentral:rRNA from 1 species
UGGGGAAUUUUGGACAAUGGGCGAAAGCCUGAUCCAGCAAUGCCGCGUGUGUGAAGAAGGCCUUCGGGUUGUAAAGCACUUUUGUCCGGAAAGAAAUGGCUCUGGUUAAUACCUGGGGUCGAUGACGGUACCGGAAGAAUAAGGACCGGCUAACUACGUGCCAGCAGCCGCGGUAAUACGUAGGGUCCAAGCGUUAAUCGGAAUUACUGGGCGUAAAGCGUGCGCAGGCGGUUGGGCAAGACCGAUGUGAAAUCCCCGAGCUUAACUUGGGAAUUGCAUUGGUGACUGCACGGCUAGAGUGUGUCAGAGGGGGGUAGAGUUCAACGUGUAGCAGUGAAGUGCGUAGAGAUGUGGAGGAAUACCGAUGGCGAAGGCAGCGCCCUGGGAUAACACUGACGCUCAUGCACGAAAGCGUGGGGAGCAAACAGG